AUCGGUAUGAUACACAUUACAUAUUUAUAUUCUAAAUGUUUCGUAAAGAAUAAGUUUAUCAUGUAAACAUGACCUUAUCAAAUCUUGAAACAUUAAAUAGUAAUCUUUAUAUAAAUAAAGAUACUAAACAAUCAAACUCUUAAAUUCUAUGAUUUUGUAAAGCUUAAGUGUAGAGCAACCAUUGUUAAUGGAUGAAAAGUAACUAACUGGUGGUGAAAAAAUGAGAAUAAGAUUGAAUUAUAAUAAAUUGUACUUUAAAAGUAGUUUUAAUUAAAUCUGUUAACAUUAAACAAAUAAGACCGUCAUUAAUCCGAAGUGGAAGUGAUCGUUGUUUGUUAAAAUUUUAACGGGGAUUUUUGUUGGCAGUAAAAAAAUUAGCGGAAUGUAACCAGGACGUGGCUUGCGCUGUGCUCUGACAUUUAACACAGUAUACGAGUAAGUAAGUGCCCUUUCUCGCGAAGGUUGCACCGUCUGCAUCAAGCGCGUACCGUAUUAACAUGUUCACUGUUGCUGAACCGGUUGCAUAACUGGUGUCACGUGGUCAGAGCCGAUAACUGCGUCGAGAAACACUGACGCCUCCAACAUUAUAAACCAGAGAAUUUACAGACAUUCGUGUUUAGGUUCUAGCCGAAAUAGAAAAUUGUUAUUUCUUUAACGCCGAUUUUACUUGAACAAAACUUGGCUCAAUAUGAAAGACUAUCGACUAACGAAUCAACUAAUGAAAAAAUGUUCCUUUUUAUUUACGGUUUAUCUGACAUGCAGAAAUCAUGUGGAAAGUUCAUACAGUGGUCAAAAGUCAACAACCAUACAGGUAAGGUUUAAAACUAUCAAUACUAAUAACUAUUAUUAAAGUCUAUAUAAAUUACGUAGUUUACGAGUAGUUAUAAUGUACAACUAUUGUUGCUGGUAUAAAUUUAAUAACAGAUUAAACAAUAUACACUGUAUACAGAGAUGGAAUGAAAGUCCGUUGCACAUAUAAAGUAGCAGAAACAAAUUACACAUUACACAUGGAACAUGCAAGACAUGCCAUUUGCCUCAAAUCUGCAAGACGAUCAGUUCAUGAAAAGGGAGGAGAUCAGUAAAAUUACGAUAUCAAAAUAUAUCUUUUUAGAAAAACAUUUUUGUAAUUUUACAUGUCUUCAAUCAGAUUAAAUAUACUUAGAAUGUGUGAUAGAUUUUUAUAGAUUACUCGAAGCUAUGGACAGAAAAAAUAGUUUCGUUAUAAGUUACUAUUGAACCAUGCGAUAAUUAUGGUAUUUGUAACGUCAGAGUUGUAAAUAACAAAAGCACUCGUGAACACAAUGAAUAAUGUAUUGCACAUCUAUGUAAAAUUUGACUCUUUGUUUGGAUUCAAACUUGCGAAAUGUAGGCUAAUCAAAAUUUAGUAAAUUAUAAAAGAACUGCGGACUAAAACGAUGGCUCAGAAUUAUAAGGCAAAUUUAAGGUAAACUAUUUAGAAAAGGCAGAUUCGAGGCAUCUAAAUUCCACUAAAUCAACGUUUAGGAGAGAAUUUUACUCAAGAUAAACAAUUACUUAACAUGCAAAUAGAAAGCCAGAAGUACUCUUGAACUGUACACGAGGAGGAUCCAGGAGCUGCAAAUCCAAGGCGGAGAUUCUUUAGUUGGCAAUUCAGCCGAUGGUGAUUAAUUUUGUUAUUAGUUAAUGUUUUCUUCAUACUUAGAUAUUUAGUUGUGGGAAAUAAAAUAAGUCUUUUUUUGAGCAAAUUCGUCUAGAAAGUCAGUGACUUUCUUUCACAGCAUCAAUGGAAAGUAAGCCAGUGUUAUUGAGGCUUACCACUCAAUGACCAUGGAGAUGUCGAAAAGGAACUAGCUAAUGAACCAGAUCGCCCAUUACCUCACCUACCGUGGAGAUCCCGGUAACCAGCAGUCACCGUGUCACCUGGAACAGUAGGUUUCACAGCCUAAUAGAUUCUUACACGUCUCAUUGGACGCUUUCGUUCUCGACCUGUAGAAAGCUCUCGGUUGUCGCCGCCGCCCAGCGCCGCAGAGCGAAGUGAAGCGUGGUCGGAAGACUAGAAAGCACUACAAGAGUGGAAGAUCCCAAACCUGGCGAGGGGUGAGAAGGGAAGCCCGCUUGUUAGUGAAAACAACAGUACAGUCUGUGUUGACAAAGUUUAAUCGGAAAAGUACAGGCACACAAUAAAGUUUUUACAAGAAAAAGGGAGCUCUGUGCUGGCACCAACAAGCAGAGAUUCUACAGCCAGCGCCAUGCCCGCAUGCAAUGUUCUGAUAGGAGAUACACAUCUUACCCAUGAGUCACUCUCGGUACACAAGACGGCGGCCCGGGCUCGCCGAUACACACUGACUAGGUUAAUACACAUCACAGCUGAUACAGAACACCGCAUCUACGGCUAUUGUUACUAUUGGAAAGGUGGACGUUAUUUGUACUGGGUAGUGGGUGACAAGAUGGCACAGGUUGUUACUAGACAUAGCCAUGCAAGUAAGUCGUACGUUGUAAUGUACAAAGCAAUAGUUUAAUAUCACGUUGAUGGAGUCCACCCACGGAGCUGUUCCUUUUCCGAUCGCAUUCGGUGAUGUCUA